rnacentral:rRNA from 1 species
UGCAGUCGAGCGGCAGCACGGGUACUUGUACCUGGUGGCGAGCGGCGGACGGGUGAGUAAUGCCUAGGAAUCUGCCUGGUAGUGGGGGAUAACGCUCGGAAACGGACGCUAAUACCGCAUACGUCCUACGGGAGAAAGCAGGGGACCUUCGGGCCUUGCGCUAUCAGAUGAGCCUAGGUCGGAUUAGCUAGUUGGUGAGGUAAUGGCUCACCAAGGCGACGAUCCGUAACUGGUCUGAGAGGAUGAUCAGUCACACUGGAACUGAGACACGGUCCAGACUCCUACGGGAGGCAGCAGUGGGGAAUAUUGGACAAUGGGCGAAAGCCUGAUCCAGCCAUGCCGCGUGUGUGAAGAAGGUCUUCGGAUUGUAAAGCACUUUAAGUUGGGAGGAAGGGCAGUUACCUAAUACGUAUCUGUUUUGACGUUACCGACAGAAUAAGCACCGGCUAACUCUGUGCCAGCAGCCGCGGUAAUACAGAGGGUGCAAGCGUUAAUCGGAAUUACUGGGCGUAAAGCGCGCGUAGGUGGUUUGUUAAGUUGAAUGUGAAAUCCCCGGGCUCAACCUGGGAACUGCA